GAAAUUCGCUAGGGGAGCUGAAGCAGCUGAGAGUCCUCGCUCGGAAAAGCGAGGAGACCCUAUGAACCUGUUUGGGUAAUUCCAGCGAAGGGAAGCGGGAAUGCAAAAAG
rnacentral:ncRNA from 2 species